rnacentral:lncRNA from 1 species
GGCAGUGGCUUGCCUUGGCUGGGGCUUGGGGAGCUGUGGCAGGGAUGGCUGCUGCCAGCUCUCCUGCCUCCCUCUCCAGCUGCCCAGGCCCUGUGGGACAGGCCUUUGGCCUCUGGGCCCCACGGCAGCAGCGUGGGCUUGCAGUGGCAGAGUGGGGUUGGUGGGGCAGCUGUUCAGGGCUUCCCAGCACAGCCUUGUGUUCCACCCAGGCCAAAGACAUCUGCAGCCUGUCUGAGCCCCUCCUGGAGCUGCUGCGGGAUGGAGAUGGAGAGCUGGUGGCCAUGACCCUCUCCGUGUUCCGGAAUGUGCUCCGGGAUGGAGACAACAGCGAUGAGUUCAGCUCCACUGCCCCGAGGCUGACUGAGGCGCUGCGGCCAGUCUUUGACCACGUAAGGCUCUGUGCCCCCAGCCACAGGCACUGGGUGCUGCCAGGAAACUUGUGGAGUUUCAGGGCCUGGAGCAGGCAGUGCUGAGGUCUUUGUGUGUUCUUUGGCCCCAGGACAACAGCCACGUGCAGCUGCUGUCCAUUCGCCUCUUCCGAGAGGUGAUGGAGGUGCUGGCGGAAGAGGGAACAGAGCCCUGGGAGAUGCAGGUGCGCCAGAGCCUGGUCCCACUGUUCUUCCGCUGGCACGACGAGAACCAGCGCGUGGCAGAGGCCGCUCGGGAAGCGCUGCUCUGGGCUGCAAGCUUCCUCCACAGGAAGGACCUGGAGCAGCUGCUGAAGACAGAGCAGCCCUUCAGAUUCUGUGACUACCUGAUGGAAAAGGACAGGAGCCGAAGGGGCGAGCACCUGCAGCAGGCCCUGCCCUACCUGCAGAGCCCACAGGAGCCCCUGCGAGAGGCGGCCGUCAGGUUCAUGGGGGUCGCCGGCUGGCACAUGAGGGAGUGGCAGCAAGACCUGUGGCCCAUCCUCAAGGGCCUUACAGCCAUGAGCGACGGACGACUGCCCCUCCGUCUCCAACAUGAGAGCUGCACUCGUGGCCACUUACAGCCGGGCCAUGAGAACUCCACCUGCUCCGCUGAGACGACCAAUGUCCCUGCAACAGCCCCCCACCACAGCCCAGGGACCACUUCUCAGCGCGGCUGCAGCUCCAGCUGAUGCUGGGCCCAACUGAGCCAGCCCGCAAGGCCAGGCAGCUCCUGGCCUCUGCAGCCCCAGGGACGGCUCCCUCCUUCCAUUCCCUUCUCCUGACCCCACUUCAUCCCUCCCCUUGCCCUGAUGUUAAUAAACCCUGGC